rnacentral:rRNA from 1 species
CCUACGGGUCGCAGCAGUGGGGAAUAUUGUACAAUGGGCGCAAGCCUGAUGCAGCCAUGCCGCGUGUAUGAAGAAGGCCUUCGGGUUGUAAGGUACUUUCAGCGGGGAGGAAGGCGAUAAGGUUAAUAACCUUGUCGAUUGACGUUACCCGCAGAAGAAGCACCGGCUAACUCCGUGCCAGCAGCCGCGGUAAUACGGAGGGUGCAAGCGUUAAUCGGAAUUACUGGGCGUAAAGCGCACGCAGGCGGUCUGUCAAGUCGGAUGUGAAAUCCCCGGGCUCAACCUGGGGACUGCAUUCGAAACUGGCAGGCUAGAGUCUUGUAGAGGGGGGUAGAAUUCCAGGUGCAGCGGUGAAAUGCGUAGAGAUCUGGAGGAAUACCGGUGGCGAAGGCGGCCCCCUGGACAAAGACUGACGCUCAGGUGCGAAAGCGUGGGGAGCAAACAGGAUUAGAUACCCUUGUAGUC